AGUGGCGGACGGGUGAGUAACGCGUGGGUAACCUGCCUCAUACAGGGGGAUAACAGUUAGAAAUGACUGCUAAUACCGCAUAAGCGCACGGUUUUCGCAUGGAACAGUGUGAAAAACUCCGGUGGUAUGAGAUGGACCCGCGUCUGAUUAGUUGGUUGGCGGGGUAACGGCCCACCAAGGCGACGAUCAGUAGCCGGCCUGAGAGGGUGAACGGCCACAUUGGGACUGAGACACGGCCCAAACUCCUACGGGAGGCAGCAG
rnacentral:rRNA from 1 species